rnacentral:lncRNA from 1 species
UUUGAGCGAAGAAAGAAAAUAUGUGGAGUAUAAUGCCAAAUGCAAUUUAAUCUUUUUAGAGGAUUUUUUAAAAUAGUUUAUUUUUGCUUUGUUUUUUAAAGACUACUUUUUUGUUUUGAAAUUAUUUCUAGGAGUUUUUUGUUUUCUUAUAUGAUGAUGAUAAUACGGGUUUUCUUUUCAAUAAUGAUGUACAAGUAUUAAGGCGGUAAUAUGACUUUGACAUCAAUGUAUUUUCUUUUAGCUUUUAGAAUUUU